rnacentral:snRNA from 1 species
AGAUGUGAGAGUGAUCUGGCUGUGACAUCUGUCACCCCAUUGAUCUUCAACACCAGGGUUGAUUAUUCUGAUCUGGCUGGCUAGGCAUAUGUCCUCUUCCUCCCUCACAGCUCCAUGUGCAUCCCUCCUGAAGCUGCUGCACUUGUUUGAAGAGGAUGGUCUUCCCCAAUUGAGACCGGCCAGUCUUUUUUUUUUUUUAAGCCUCUGAUCAUCUUUUUUUAUUAUUAUUUUUAUUUAUAAAAUGGAAAUAUUGGCAAGACCAUAGGAUAAGAGGGGUACAAUUGCACACAAUUCCCACCACCAGAG